ensembl:lincRNA Gm26613 predicted gene, 26613
AGAAGAACAUGAAGCCAGUGGAGAGUGCAGCCUUCAUCAGGCUGGGGGACAGGCCCUUGAAGAAGCCCCGGGUGCCUUCUUCCUGUAGUACCUGCUGGGUGAGGUCCAGGAGGCCCCUGUAGCUCCGCACCUGGAGAGAGGAAGGUGGAGGCUGAGGAGGAAGCAGGGACCUAAACCACGACUGCCCACCCGGGACAAGGCAGCUCCUGUAACUGCCUGCGGAUGGAUGAAGGAGGCCCUGGAGGAGGGAGCUCCUCACUCUUUCUAAUGCAUGCUGCUAACUGAGGAAGGGCCUGGGGUCGGCAGCUGGAGAGCGAGAGCUCCUUCCUGAUGUAGAACUCUCGGCUACUUCUCCAGCACCAUGUCUGCCUACACGCCACCAUGCUUCCCAGUAUGGUGACAGUGGAUGAAACCUCUGAACUGUAAGCCACCCCCAAUUAAAUGUUUUCCUUUAUAAUGUUGCUGUGAGGCCCAGCACUCACCUUUAAUCACCACCCCCUACACACACACACACACACACACACACACACACACACACACACACUGGCGAGGCAGAGGAAGGUGGAUCUGACUUCUAGGACAACCAGGGCUACAUGGAGAAAUCAUGACUUGAAAAGCAAAACAAAAAGAUCACAGCAAAAGAACUUUAACUAAGACACCCCCAAAACAAAAGAAACAAACAAAACACCUAAGAAGAGAAGCCUUUGAAAAGGCCGUCAAAUUAGCCCGCAGCUGAAGCAAGCACAGUGACCAGGAGGUCAGGACACUGGUUCCCCGCCUUGCCUUCUCUCAUUCACCCUGGAACCGUUCCAGUAGGUUCCCCUGGGAAACUCAGUCAGGUUAAACCAGGGCAGAGGACUAAGUCACUGAACCGUCUUCUUAAGGGUGACUGGGCUGCCCAGUCCUUCAUGGUCUCAAGUUUCCCUCAGUCUAAGAGGGGAAGAAGAGACAGCAAAGAUGCAGGCCUCCUGGCUCGUUGUCCACAGACACCGAGAAGCUAGCAAGUCUGCCUGCAAACCCAGACGGAAACUGCACCGUUCAAGCCAAACACAAGGUGGGAGAGGCUGUUGUGUCCGGAUUUCUAGAAAUGAGCACUUCUGCAUUGCUGGAUACGGGUCCAGAAGACUGGGUUUUGACUCCUAGGGAGACUGAGGUGGAAGGACCACAGUGUGAGGGCCAGCCUGGACUACACAGCUCAACUCAGUCUUAAAGGCUAAAAGGAAAUCUGUGACUCACACCUGUAACCUAGAACCCAGGAGGCAAGGGCAAGAGGACUGGGAGCCAGCCUGGGCUAUAUAAGACCUCAAGAAAUUCAGAAAUUCAGACAAAAGGCAAAAUGCUAGCCAAACAUGUACAAGACCAUGGGUCCUGCUCCCCAGCACUAAAAGGAGUCACGGUAGAGUCCCUGCCUUUUAUGCACAAAACCCUGAGUUUAUAAGCCCAUUGUUACAAAAAUAAAUAAUAAAUAAAUAAAUAAAU